rnacentral:rRNA from 1 species
AGUGAACGCUGGCGGUAGGCCUAACACAUGCAAGUCGAACGGCAGCACAGUAAGAGCUUGCUCUUACGGGUGGCGCGUGGCGGACGGGUGCGGAAUACAUCGGAAUCUACUUUUUCGUGGGGGCUAACGUAGGGAAACUUACGCUAAUACCACAUACGACCUACUUGUGAAAGCACGCGUUCUUCGGACCUUGCGCGAUUGAAUGAGCCGAUGUCGGAUUAGCUAGUUGGCGGGGUAAAGGCCCACCAAGGCGACGCUCCGUAGAUGGUCUGAGAGGAGGAGCAGCAACACUGGAAUGGAGAGACGGUCCAGACCCCUACGGGAGGCACAAGUGGGAGAUAUUGGCGAAUGGGCGCAAGCCUGAACCAGCCAUACCGCGUGGGUGAAGAAGGCCGUCGGGUUGUAAAGCCCUUUUGUUGGGAAAGAAAAGCAGCAGGUUAAUACCCCGCUGUUCUGACGGUACCCAAAGAAUAAGGACCGGCUAACUUCGUG